rnacentral:rRNA from 1 species
AUGGGCGAAAGCCUGAUGCAGCGACGCCGCGUGAGGGAUGACGGCCUUCGGGUUGUAAACCUCUUUCAGCAGGGAAGAAGCGAAAGUGACGGUACCUGCAGAAGAAGCGCCGGCUAACUACGUGCCAGCAGCCGCGGUAAUACGUAGGGCGCGAGCGUUGUCCGGAAUUAUUGGGCGUAAAGAGCUCGUAGGCGGCUUGUCACGUCGGUUGUGAAAGCCCGGGGCUUAACCCCGGGUCUGCAGUCGAUACGGGCAGGCUAGAGUUCGGUAGGGGAGAUCGGAAUUCCUGGUGUAGCGGUGAAAUGCGCAGAUAUCAGGAGGAACACCGGUGGCGAAGGCGGAUCUCUGGGCCGAUACUGACGCUGAGGAGCGAAAGCGUGGGGAGCGAACAGGAUUAGAUACCCUGGUAGUCCACGCCGUAAACGUUGGGCACUAGGUGUGGGCGACAUUCCACGUCGUCCGUGCCGCAGCUAACGCAUUAAGUGCCCCGCCUGGGGAGUACGGCCGCAAGGCUAAAACUCAAAGGAAUUGACGGGGG